GCCCCCGUAGCUCAGGAGGAUAGAGCGAGGGAUUCCUAAUCCCUAGGUCGGACGUUCAAAUCGUCUCGGGGGCACCA
rnacentral:tRNA from 3 species